rnacentral:lncRNA from 1 species
ACCCUGCGCUCCAGACCUGCCCUGCUGCACAUGGGGGUGUGAGCCCCUGAACUGUGGCUGGUCUGAACUGAGCUGUGCCUCAAGAAUAAAAUACACCCUAGGUUUUGAAGAUGAUGUAAGAAGCAUGUAAAAUAACUCAAUAUUUAAAUCGAUAUGAUAAAAUGAUGAUGUUUUGUGUGUAUUUGGCUAAAUACAUCAUUGAAUUUGAUUUUGUGUGUUUCGUUUUAAAAUGUGGCUGCUAGGUAAUUGAUAAUGAUGUACGUGGCUCACAUUAUAUUCCCACUGGCAGCACGGUUACAGGUACAGUCACCCUAUUUUCUGGAGCCCUUCCUGUCUCUGCAUUUGGGCCAUCAGACUGUUCUUCCCAGCCUGUCUGUCUGGGAAAUUAUGCGUCCUUCCUGACCUCAGUUCUUUCUUCCAGACAGCCAUCCCUCACACCCUUGCUUUGCAUUUUCUGGGCAGCUGCCUGCCUGUUUCUGUGUCCUAGCAAUUAGGAGCCUCCAGAGGUCUAGACAGUGUUUAUGUAGUUUCCUGUCUCUAGCUUCCCAGGUCAUCAGAUGAACUUAGGAAGGCAUCUACCCAGUACACGAACACAAUAGAACAUUACAGGAUGCAGUGGGACUGUCAAAUGCAUUACUUAGAAGUUGGUUGUGUGAGGAAAGAUGGGCUGGUAGCCAUGUACUGGGCACUGGUGGUGGGACAUGAGCCAGAGGACACAGCAUCCACCAAGCCUGUGAGCACGAUGCAUCUGAGGAUGCUCGUGAAGGAGAGCUGGUGGCCGCGGAAGCAGGGAGUGAGCACACAGGGGGGCUGCAGAGUCAGCACCGAGUGAUCUGGGAAGGAGUCUGGCUGCAUUGGGAGUUGGGGGAGCAGAGCAGGGUCUCAGGGCCACACCCAAGUUGGUCAUGUGGAGUGCAUGACCUCAGCCUCCUGUUCCACAGGGUCCGAGGCUUUCCCAGAGUCAGCUGUUUCCUGGGCUGACAGAGUGUGGACUCUGGCGUCAGAACAUCCACCCUCUGGCCUUGUGAGUUUAUUUUUUAUUUUUUUAAAGAUUUAUUUUAUUUAUUCAUUCAGAGAGAGAGAGACAAGCAGAGGGAGAAGCAGGCUCCACACAGGGAGCCCGACCCGACAAGAUCUGGAGUCUCCAGGAUCACACCCUGGGCUGCAGGCGGCGCUAAACCGCUGCGCCACCGGGGCUGCCCUGGCCUUGUGAGUUUAGGCAAGUGCUUAACCUUUCUGGCCUUCCAUCUCCUCAUUGGAAAAACAGUAACAUGUCUACCUCACACGAAUGCUCGAGAAUUAAGGGAAUGGCCUCAUGAGAAAUGAGUCUGGGGCUCACUUGGAGCAAUUCCCCGUGUCACAGCUAUCACUGAAACUGCCUUUCCAACUGAUCUCUUCUGUUACGUUCUUCCUAACAGGAGUGUUCGUGAGCGAGAAUGAAAAGGGCGCACUGAUAUGCCGGGGACCAGAGUACAGUGGAAUAUCAAACGCUCUUUGCAUCCAUUAUUCGUGUCUCUCAGGCUAGAAGCUAGGUAAAUGGUCAAAUACCAUGUGAUUCAAAAUGAUCACAUCUGCAGAAUACAUUCUUUAUCUGCAGGAAGGCAGACAGUUACUAUGAUUUGAGAGUCUACCCUGCGUGUGUGCCUGAGAACCUAAGUGCAGUCUCAGUCACACUUGUGGUGACUGGGCCAUACAGGUGGUGGAAACGGUAACCGAGGUCACACCGCCCCGCGUCCGAACAGGGCCACCCUCCUCGGCCUGCAGGCUCAAGGGCACUUUUAUAUUAACUUUCCAAUAAAAUAAUUCUGGUAAAAUAAACCUGGAAUGCAGAAUAGCCCUCUCAACGUCUCAGUUCCCUCGUCUUAGAUAAAGAACCGUGAAACCGUGCGUCCAACUGUCAGAUACUCUGGGAUCCGCAGCAUCCUGCGAAACCGGCAAACACUCCCAGGUGCCGAGCGCACAGAGAGGAAAAUCUCUUCUCCCAAUCUACUGUGUAUUUGCUCAAUCGAGUUUAGGGUGCCUAAUUUUCUUGCUUCUAAGAGGUGGGACGAGAGACGGUUCCUGAUGCUGCUCCAGAACCUGAGUGCACCUGGUCCGUGGGCUCUGCGGAUGCAGGCAGCCGAACCGAGGGAGCUGCUGAGGUAGCAGGCGGCUCAGAAGCCGUGCCUCAGUUUCCCUGUCGUAACUCCGGACGUCCCAGCCAGGCCGGAGGGUCAGCCCAGCUCGGUUCCCAGCGCCUCCAGUCAACCGAACGCUGACCGGGGCUUCACCCCGCCGCCGCCACCUUCCCAGCCCACAUGGGUCUCUGCCCGCAGCCCGCCGCUCAGACCCGGUGGGGAGGCGGGUAAUCUACGCGGUCAGCAAUGGCUCCGCCUUCCCUCGCUUCGCCUGUCGGUUGCUAGGAGCCGGCCGCGGGGUAUUCUGGGACAGCGAUGGCUCGGCGCUCUUCUGCUCGAGCCUGCCAACUGCACGGAGCUGGAAGUGGCGCGAGCGCGCUAGGGGCCGCCGCGCGGCAUGCCGGACCGCGGUCGUUCGGCGCUCGGCUGCCAGGGCCUGCCAGUUGCUAGGAGCCGGGGACGCCGGCGGGCCUCCCGGGCCUACCAGCUGCGAUGGAGCCUGGGAAGGUGGGUGCGAGCGGGCGGCGCGCGGGGCGGGCCCGGGGGUCUCCCGUUGGCCUGUAUAUAUAUAUACACCCGCACGGUUGUCGGUGUCCUGGCCUCCCUCCUGCCGUGGUGGUGUCGCGCGCUAGGCGGUGUCGCGAUGGUUCCCCGGAGUCGUGCGGCCAAACGCUUGUAGUCCUCAGAGGGGCCCGCGGGCGUGGGGGUGGGGGUGGGGGUGGGGGUGGGGGUGGAGGGGCGGAGAGACCGCGGUGCUGCCGGGAAGGAGUCUCUUCUCCCCUCCCUGAGCUCAGUGCGGGGCUCCUCCUGCCUUCCAGGGGCUGAUGCGGGGCUCCUCCUGCCUUCCAGGGGCUGAGUGCGGGGCUACUCACCCUCCGGGGGCUGAGUGCGGGGCUCCUCCUGCCUUCCAGGGGCAGAGUGCGGGGGCUGAGUGCGGGGCUCCUCCUGCCCUCCCGGGGCUGACUGCGGGGCUCCUCCUGCCCUCCAGGGGGGGAGUGCGGGGCUCCUCCUGCCCUCCCGAGGCCGACUGUGGGGCUUCUCCAGCCCACCAGGGGCUGAGUGCGGUGCACCUCUGCCCUCCCGGGGCUGACUGCGGGGCUCCUCAUGCCCUCCAGGGGC